UACGUAGGGUGCGAGCGUUAAUCGGAAUUACUGGGCGUAAAGCGCGCGCAGGCGGUUGGUUAAGUCUGAUGUGAAAGCCCCGGGCUCAACUUGGGAAUGGCAUUGGAAACUGGCUGGCUAGAGUGUGGCAGAGGGGGGUGGAAUUCCGCGUGUAGCAGUGAAAUGCGUAGAGAUGCGGAGGAACACCGGUGGCGAAGGCAGCCCCCUGGGCUAGCACUGACGCUCAGGCACGAAAGCGUGGGGAGCAAACAGG
rnacentral:rRNA from 1 species